GAUCCUUCAGAGAGUCAGCACAGGCAGGAUGGAUCAAAUGGCCAUUUAUGGCAUUUUGAAAGCCCUGCCCAACAAGCUUUGAGGCUUGGCCGUUACACUGGAGGAAAUGUGUGGUGUGGAGUCAGGACAGUUCCUGAGUAGCUGUCAUGUGUUUCUUGUACCAGAUCAGAAGUGAAAAUAGCAAAAACCGAAACUACUUCCCAUUCUACUGGGAAUGAUCCACUGCAAGGAGAUGCCAUGCAAACCACCGAACGCCAUUUCAGAAGAAGGGUCUAGACCCGAAACGUCAGCCUUCCUGCUCCUCUGCUGCUGCUUGGCCUGCUGUCUUCAUCCAGCCCUACAUCUUGUUAUAACACUUACAACAGAUACCUUUUGAGGCUGAUCUACGCUCACCUCAGAACCCUUCCUGGAUUGCUUCGGAAUGAUAAUGGGAUACCAAGCCAUUGCUACAUUUAGGAGACUUCACUCCCUGUACACACCUGAACACAUCUCCGAAACCUGGGAAAAUUCCAUCUCAACAGAGUUUUAAAUCUCAUGAGAUAAUGGGAACUGCAGAUGCUGGAGA